UGCUCAUAAAAAACAGCAAGUACAGUGCACUUCUACCUUAAUAUUUCUUCCAAAUAUACUUUUAUGCUACAGUAUAUUGUUUAAUGCAGGUGGUGGUGAUUGUGGGGUCGGGGGGUGGGGGGUGGGGGGGGGGGUUGUUGACAUUCAACAAAAAUAAAAAAUAAAAGAACAAAAUUAUCACAUUGAAUGAUGUUUAUACUAUUGUUUGAUACAACUGAAUGAUGCAUUUUUAUAUGAAAAUAAACAAGCUGAAAACACUCUAGCUGAAAAACUUUUAGUGCUUUUCUAUGGAAUUUUCUAUGGAAUUAACCCUCAAAUGCCAACUUUACAUUGGAUUGGUUUCUUCUUUAAAUUAUAAAAAAAAAAGUGAAUGGUAUGGUAUAGUGUUAUACUAAAACUAAAAUUAAAAUGAUGGAAAACCAUUAAGAUAACAUGUAGAAAGAAAAAAAACCUGUACCUUAAGCACGCAGAAUAACAUAAGUGGAUUUUGAACGAUUAAUUGCCGCUUUGAACGAUUACGUAUUUGUGGCAUCCAUAAUUGUAAUUGCGAUUAAAAAUUUGAUUAAUUGUGCAGCCCUAGCACCUAAAGUCUAGUUUGUUCACCGUGAAACAUUGCGGAUUUGGAACUGGCUUAUCUCGAGUAAGCAAGAUUUCAGUUGAUCAACGAGAGUUCCUUGGAACACACCCCAGAGAGUAGAAUUGUGCUUUACAUAGAAUGUUGUUUAGAAGUUCAACUUUAGAACAGAAUAUUGUCUUUGUUUUUUUGGUUUGUAUGCAAUCUUUUAGCCCUGAUGAAGGCCUCUGUACCAAAUCAUGUUGGCAAAUAUAACUAUUAUUCUUUUUAGAUCCACUUUCUGAUUAUUUUACCACAAGUGUUGCUGGUAUUCCUUUAAAAAAUACCUUGAUGUGCAGACACUGUUUCACUGACAUGAAGGAGUUUUUCUCUCUGCUGGGGCUUCUAAAUUAUCUUGUAUAUGUUGAUAAGCAGCUGCUGCCUUGUGAAUAAGCACAUUGGACUGCUUCUGCUUGCAGUAGUCAGAUGCCUUUGCUUGGCAUCCCAUAUGAAAAAAGCUUAUCACCCUAACACAAAUUUGACUUACAGUGCUGCGAAUAACUCAGCUUCAUCUGUCAUACAGAAGGCAUCAUGGUGUCCUCAAGCAGUCUUUGGUGUAAUUGUUGACAUCAUAAUGGAAGUUUGUUGGGUUCUGAACCAGAAAGACACUCCAAAACUACAACAUCCAACCAUCAUGAUUCACAGUUGCUAUGAGGUUCUUUGCUUCUAACAUGUUUCGAGCUGUGGCCAAACAACUGUUCUUCAUGUUGAAAGACAAACUUCAGCACCGCCUUAACCCUGUGGUGCUCAUUUUUACAGAGAAAUUUUGUGAGAUGGCUGACCUGGACAGACCUGCUCUGAAAAAGUUUGCAGUUUCUUAUGUCAG
ensembl:lncRNA